rnacentral:rRNA from 1 species
UAUGGCUCAGGAUGAACGCUGGCGGCGUGCCUAACACAUGCAAGUCGAACGAAGUUGUUCUACCCGACGAUCUUCUUCGGAAAGAGAGUCAUUGAAACGCUUAGUGGCGGACGGGUGAGUAACGCGUGGGCAACCUGCCCUGCACAGGGGGAUAGCAGUUGGAAACGACUGGUAAUACCGCAUACCUUAUAUUUAUCGCAUGACAGAUAUAAGAAAACGUUAGUGGUGCAGGAUGGGCCCGCGUCCGAUUAGUUAGUUGGUGGGGUAACGGCCUACCAAGACGACGAUCGGUAGCCGACCUGAGAGGGCGGACGGCCACAUUGGGACUGAGACACGGCCCAGACUCCUACGGGAGGCAGCAGUGGGGAAUAUUGCACAAUGGGGGAAACCCUGAUGCAAGCGACGCCGCGUGAGCGAAGAAGUAUUUCGGUAUGUAAAGCUCUAUCAGCAGGGAAGAUAAUGACGGUACCUGACUAAGAAGCCCCGGCUAAAUACGUGCCAGCCGCCGC